rnacentral:lncRNA from 1 species
GGCGUUAAGAAACGUUUGGUGACCCCACAGUUUAAAUGUUUAUCGUAGGUACGUCGUGAACAGUGGUCAUUACAGACAAACGUUUCACGUAAUUGUCCCAGUCAAUGGAUGAAUUUAAUGUGUCAAUCAAUGGCCACAGCCACACUGUUUUGAAUUUCAUUCUAUAAGAACAUUUCUUUGUGAUUCAUAUUUUGUGCAGUGCAAGAUGAAAUGUUUUUCGUCUUCUAUAUUUUUAUUAUGACAUAAUUUGCACAACCUUUCUUCUCUGUUAACUUGCAUGUAUCUACCUCUUUCAAUUUCAAGAUUAUGUGCACUUAGCCUUAGUUUUGCCAAAGGUGCCCUAUUUUUCAACAUAUUCAACUGGUCAACAUAGUGUGCACGUUUAUUUGAAAAACAAAAAUGUCGAAAAAAUGAUAAUUUUGAUGAUUCUCUAAUAUAUGAAUUCUGUUCUUGUAAAAUUUGGUCACGAAUUCGUUGUUUUAUUCGAGCCAGCAUAGGUGUAAUAGGUACAUCAAAUGAAUACAAAAGGUAAAAUUGAUUUUAUUAAGAAAUAAUUUAGUUUUGGAUGUAACGCGUCUUCUAAUUGGCUGACGUUAUUUUGUUAUCAGCCCAUAGACAUAAUUUAGUCAUGUGACCGUGACUUCAUCAACGUUUUUUCAUGGUUUUCUACGGUUAGAAAUGGAAUUUAGAAUUAAAUUAUAAGAAAUGACUGUAAUAUUUUUUCUGUCUAUUCGAAAUAACAUAAAAAAUGUGGUGCACACUGUUAAAUAACCCGCUACGCGCGUUUUUCAGUGUGCACCAAAUUUUUUAUGUUAUUUUUUCAUAGACAGAAAAAAUGUUACAGUCAUUCCUUAAAUAAAAAGA